rnacentral:rRNA from 1 species
UGGGGAAUAUUGGGCAAUGGGGGAAACCCUGAUCCAGCCAUGCCACGUGAGUGAAGAAGGCCUUCGGGUUGUAAAGCUCUUUCGGCGGGGACGAUGAUGACGGUACCCGCAUAAGAAGCCCCGGUAAACUUCGUGCCAGCAGCCGCGGUAAUACGAAGGGGGCUAGCGUUGUUCGGAAUUACUGGGCGUAAAGCGCGCGUAGGCGGUGAUCUUUGUCAGAGGUGAAAUCCCGAGGCUCAGCUUCGGAAUUGCCUUUGAAACGGGAUCGCUUGAGUCCGAGAGAGGAUGGCGGAAUUCCUAGUGUAGAGGUGAAAUUCGUAGAUAUUAGGAAGAACACCGGUGGCGAAGGCGGCCAUCUGGCUCGGUACUGACGCUCAGGCGCGAAAGCGUGGGGAGCAAACAG